rnacentral:misc_RNA from 1 species
ACUGAUUAGAAGCUUGCUUCUAUGACGUUAGCGGCGGACGGGUGAGUAACACGUGGGCAACCUGCCUGUAAGACUGGGAUAACUUCGGGAAACCGAAGCUAAUACCGGAUAGGAUCUUCUCCUUCAUGGGAGAUGAUUGAAAGAUGGUUUCGGCUAUCACUUACAGAUGGGCCCGCGGUGCAUUAGCUAGUUGGUGAGGUAACGGCUCACCAAGGCAACGAUGCAUAGCCGACCUGAGAGGGUGAUCGGCCAC